CUUAGUUGAUCUUAUUAGUAGUCAUAUGCUUGUCUCAAAGAUUAAGCCAUGAAUGUAUAAAUAUAAAUUGUUUUAUAUUGUGAAAUUGUGAAUGGCUUAUUAAAUAAAUAAUAGUUUAUUUGAUAGUACCUUACUACUCAGAUAACUAUAGUAAUUCUAUAAAUAAUAUGUGUAAAGAGUCCUGACCUUCAAAAGGGAUGCACUUACUAGAUUCAAGACUAAUGCAUACUCAUUUAUAUUCUCAGUGGUUCAUGAUAACUUGUCAAAUCAUAUGGUCCUCGUGUCAGUGAUACUUAAAUUAAAUUUCUACCCUAUCAACUUUUGAUGGUAGGAUAUAAUAGGGAAUUAGGGUUUGAUUUUGAGAUACAGCUACCACAUCUAGGGAAGGUAGCAAACGCACAAAUUAUCCAAUUCUGACAUUGGGAGGUACUGACAAUAAAUAAUAAUACUGGGCUUCAAAUUUUGGUAAUUGGAAUGAGUACAAUAUAAAUCUCUUAAGGAAGAUUCAUUAGAGGGCAAGUCUAGUGCCAAUAGCUAUAGUAAUUCUAAUUCUAAUAACAUGUUAUUAUAGUUAAAAAGCUCAUUUGGAUCUCAGGACAAGAUGAAUGGUUUCCCUAUAAGCACUAGUCACCCCAUUCUAUGAGUCAAUGAUGCUAAUUUGAUCUUUACUGGCUAAUGUGGAGUCGACAAUGUUAUUUUGAAAAAAUUAAAGUACCCAAAACAGACUCAUACUCUAAAUACAUUAGUAUGGAGUAAUGUAAUAGGACUCUGAUCCUGUUGUGUUGGUCUCCAAGAUAUGAGUAAUGAUUAGUAGGGACAAUUGGGGGCAUUUGUACUCUAUUGUUAGAGAUGAAAUUCUUAAGCAUUUGCUGAGGAUGCUUUUAUUAAUCAAGAAUGAAAGUUAGGAGCUCAAAUACGAUUAAAUACCAUUUUAGUCUUAACCAUAGAUGAUGAUGAUUAGGGAUUGGCAGAUGUUAUUUGGAUAACAACGCCAUCACCUCAUGAAAAAUCAAAGUCUUUGCGUUCCAAGAGGAGUAUAGUUGCAAAGCUAAAACUUAAAGGAAUUGAUGGAAGGGUAUUAUUUGGAGUGAAGCUUAUGGUUUGAUGAAGAAACUUACUAAGUUUAGACAUAGUAAAAAUUAAUACAUUAAGAGCUCUUUCUUGAUUCUAUAGGUGGUAAUUUCUUAGUUGGUGAAGUGAUUUGUUUGGUUAAUUUUAUUAAUAAACAAGACCUCAACCUAGUAACUAGUGUUUUUUCCAAACUAGCUUCUUAGGGAGGCUAUUUACUUUUGGUGGAUAGAAGUUUGAAGCAAUAAUAGAUUUGUGAUGCCCUUAGAUGUUUUGGGCUGCACAUGCACUACAUUGAUGAACUCAACAAGUGUAUGCCUAUGUCAAUAUUAAAACCUUGACAUUAACAUUGGUAGAGUUGAUAUUAGAGUGAAAUGAGAUAUUUCUUCAUAAGUAUAAUGCCAAAGAUAAAUUUUUGAUCUAUAAUUAGUCAGAUAGUUAGUGAUUAAUUAAGCCUCAUUGGAAAUUGAUAAUUUGCUUCACAAGUUUUGACAAAGAUAAUAUUGGUGAUUUGGUUGUAACUUUAUGU
rnacentral:rRNA from 1 species